UACUAGAGUAGCACUCGCAUAUCAAUAAGCGGAGGAAAAGAAACUAACAAGGAUUCCCCUAGUAACGGCGAGUGAAGCGGGAAGAGCUCAAAUUUGAAAUCUUAAAGGGUUUCCCUUUACGAAUUGUAGUUUAAAGAAGUGUUUUCUGUUGAGGUUUUGGUAAAAGUUCUUUGGAAUAGGACAUCAUAGAGGGUGAGAAUCCCGUAUUUGACCUUUACUUUCAACUUUGUGAUACACUUUCAAAGAGUCGGAUUGUUUGGGAAUGCAGUCCAAAAUGGGUGGUAAAUUUCAUCUAAAGCUAAAUAUUGGCGAGAGACCGAUAGCGAACAAGUACCGUGAGGGAAAGAUGAAAAGAACUUUGAAAAGAGAGUUAAACAGUACGUGAAAUUGUCAAAAGGGAAGCGUUUGACACCAGUGUUGUUUUUCUGAAAAUCAAUUAAAGAACUGUUUAUGCUAAGCUGUUUAGACUUUAUCAGCUAUCUGUUUAGUUUUGAGCUUUUCUUUAAUGCACUUUUCAGUUAACAAGUCAACAUCAAUUUCUUUUGCUGUAAAAAAGCUUGAGGAAGGUGGCUUGAGAUUCGUCUUAAGUGUUUAUAGCCUCUUGCCUAUGCAGUCGGAGAGAUUGAGGUCUGCAGCGUAGAUCCUUCGGGGCUAAAUGCAUUUGUGCUAAGUUAUAGCAUUUUAUAGACAACUUGUUGACUAUGAUUUGUCUUGUAGCUUACUCGCUUAUGUUAUUUUACCUACGCUUAGGAUGUUGAGUAGCGACAUACGCAC
rnacentral:rRNA from 1 species